AGAAUCAACGCUGGCGGCGUGCCUAACACAUGCAAGUCGCACGAGAAAGUGGAGCAAUCCAUGAGUACAGUGGCGCACGGGUGAGUAACACGUGAAUCAUCUACCUCCGAGUGGGGAAUAACCUAGAGAAAUCUGGGCUAAUACCGCAUAACACUUACGAGUCAAAGCAGCAAUGCGCCUGGAGAGGAGUUCGCGGCCGAUUAGCUAGUUGGCGGGGUAAUGGCCCACCAAGGCGAUGAUCGGUA
rnacentral:rRNA from 1 species